GUCAGCAGCCAUAUCACCCUGUAGCCCAAGCCUGGUUGUCCACUGAAGCCAAGCAGGGCUGAGCCUGGUCAGUACUGGGAUGGGAGACCUCCUGGGAAACUAUAGGUUGCUGCUGGAA
rnacentral:rRNA from 1 species